GGAGGUCCUCUACUCCCUCAAGGAGAAGGGGACAGGUAACUCCAGUCUUCUGGCUGAGCCCCGAGUGGCUCUGACCCGUCUCAACCAGCAGGCCAAUCAGCUGGCUUUCGACUCGGUCUUCCUGCAGAUCAAACAUCAACUCUGCCUGGUCUCCACAAUGGAGAGCCGAGAUGCAGGAGGUUUUGGAGAGAGCUAUGCUGAAGACCUGCCUACCUUCAGCUUGUCCCCACAGGAGUACAUCACCAAUAUAGGACAGUACAUCAUGUCUCUGCCGCUCCACUUGGAGCCCUUUGUGGCGCAAGAGGACCCGGCACUGGAAUUGGCUCUGCAUGCAGGCAAACUGCCCUUCC